GAUGAACGCUGGCGGCGUGCCUAAUACAUGCCAGUCGAGCGAACAGACGAGGAGCUUGCUCCUUCGACGUUAGCGGCGGACGGGUGAGUAACACGUAGGUAACCUACCUAUAAGACUGGGAUAACUUCGGGAAACCGGAGCUAAUACCGGAUAAUAUUUCGAACCGCAUGGUUCGAUAGUGAAAGAUGGCUUUGCUAUCACUUAUAGAUGGACCUGCGCCGUAUUAGCUAGUUGGUAAGGUAACGGCUUACCAAGGCAACGAUACGUAGCCGACCUGAGAGGGUGAUCGGCCACACUGGAACUGAGACACGGUCCAGACUCCUACGGGAGGCAGCAGUAGGGAAUCUUCCGCAAUGGGCGAAAGCCUGACGGAGCAACGCCGCGUGAGUGAUGAAGGUCUUCGGAUCGUAAAACUCUGUUAUUAGGGAAGAACAAACGUGUAAGUAACUGUGCACGUCUUGACGGUACCUAAUCAGAAAGCCACGGCUAACUACGCG
rnacentral:rRNA from 1 species